rnacentral:rRNA from 1 species
AACGAACGCUGGCGGCAUGCCUAACACAUGCAAGUCGAACGAGACCUUCGGGUCUAGUGGCGCACGGGUGCGUAACGCGUGGGAACCUGCCCUUAGGUUCGGAAUAACUCCCCGAAAGGGGCGCUAAUACCGGAUAAUGUCUUCGGACCAAAGAUUUAUCGCCUUUGGAUGGGCCCGCGUUGAAUUAGCUAGUUGGUAGGGUAAAAGCCAACCAAGGCGACUUUACAUAGCUGGUCAGAGAGGAUGAUCCGACACACUGGGAGUGAGACACGGCCCAGACUCCUACGGAAGGCAGCAGUGGGGAAUGUGGGACGAUGGGCGAAAGCCUGAUCCUUCAAUGUCGCGAGAGUGAUGUAGGAGUUAAGGUUGUGAAGCUCUUUUAACCGGGAUGAUAAUGACAGUACCGGGAGAAUAAGCGCCGGCUAACUCCGUG